AGGGUUUAUUCCCUUUGUUCUUCCUCUCUUGCGUUCUAUUGAAUUGAAUUUCCAUACAUAAGCCUAUGGAAACUAUUCCAUACGAUGAUACUAGUCCAAACUAUAUUUUUUUCAUCAAAUUAUAAUAUGUUGACUUCAUUAAUCAAUUUUAAUUUACAGUGUGAUCAAAAUAAAUAUAUCAUAUCCAUAUAAUCAUACCAUC
rnacentral:lncRNA from 1 species